rnacentral:lncRNA from 1 species
CCACUCUGAGCGCUCAGCAAAGCAAAAAGGCAAGAAGCAGAUAGCUGGACCUUUUCUUUCUUCUCGCCUUUCCAUUUCAUGCUUGCUUUGCUUUUCUCUCCUGCUUUCGACUAGCAAGCAAGCAGCAGAGAUUAGCAGGCGAGCUGGGAGUGGGACCCUUCCUGUCUUCUUCUCCUUCUCCUUCUCCUUUCCUCACCUCUCCUCUCCUUCCAGAUCGAACAAAUACAAGGUGUUUGCUGCAUCUUGUUUACCUCACUUAACUUCCCUUGUCCAUCUCUCUCUCUCU